rnacentral:rRNA from 1 species
GACGAACGCUGGCGGCGUGCCUAAUACAUGCAAGUAGAACGCUGAAGGAGGAGCUUGCUUCUCUGGAUGAGUUGCGAACGGGUGAGUAACGCGUAGGUAACCUGCCUGGUAGCGGGGGAUAACUAUUGGAAACGAUAGCUAAUACCGCAUAAGAGUAGAUGUUGCAUGACAUUUGCUUAAAAGGUGCAAUUGCAUCACUACCAGAUGGACCUGCGUUGUAUUAGCUAGUUGGUGAGGUAACGGCUCACCAAGGCGACGAUACAUAGCCGACCUGAGAGGGUGAUCGGCCACACUGGGACUGAGACACGGCCCAGACUCCUACGGGAGGCAGAAGUAGGGAAUCUUCGGCAAUGGACGGAAGUCUGACCGAGCAACGCCGCGUGAGUGAAGAAGGUUUUCGGAUCGUAAAGCUCUGUUGUAAGAGAAGAACGAGUGUGAGAGUGGAAAGUUCACACUGUGACGGUAUCUUACCAGAAAGGGACGGCUAACUACG